GUCCUACGGGAGAAAGUGGGGGAUCUUCGGACCUCACGCUAUCAGAUGAGCCUAGGUCGGAUUAGCUAGUUGGUGAGGUAAAGGCUCACCAAGGCGACGAUCCGUAACUGGUCUGAGAGGAUGAUCAGUCACACUGGAACUGAGACACGGUCCAGACUCCUACGGGAGGCAGCAGUGGGGAAUAUUGGACAAUGGGCGAAAGCCUGAUCCAGCCAUGCCGCGUGUGUGAAGAAGGUCUUCGGAUUGUAAAGCACUUUAAGUUGGGAGGAAGGGCAGUAAGUU
rnacentral:rRNA from 1 species